UCACCAGCUUCACAACUUUCAGUGAGAUCGACUCGAACGCAUCUUACUUCUUCAAGAUCAGGCUCAUCAGACUCAAUGGUAACUACAAAACCCAUAGAUUUGUAACCGGCUGGUGCAUUCGGGAGCCAAAUAUAACCUUGUACAUCAUUUCGAGAAUCGGCACUCCAUACUAAGCUGUAAUCAAGAGGCUUUGUGAGGGGGGGAGAGUCUGAAGUCGAACCUCGAAUUUGAUCACCUCGAUGCGUAGUGGUAGUUAUGUCUUUGGCCACGAGGACAUAACCUCUCGAUUGCACAUCAUUCUGUUGACAAUAGUGACCAAGGCAGAAAUAUCCGUCUGGAAUUUCCACAGGUUUGUAAAAAGUGACACCUUUCUCCUUUCCUCGCAGUGGGACAUAACUCCAUAUUUCAGAGAACUUUGUGAUUUUAAAGACUUCUAUUUCUCCUAGGCAUAUCUUCCCUUUGGCAAAACCUUGAUCUGUAAGAGUUAAAACUGACUUAAUAUCACUGUUUAAACAAUUAAGAGCAAUUUGAUAAUAAAAAUAAAAAAUAAAAAAAAAGGCAGAAUUUAAAUAAGCGCUGGAUAAUAGCUCUCAUUCACAUGAAAAUUUGCUUAUAUUUCUACUUCCUCUGCCAAAUUGUAUAGGAAUUAACUUAGCCCUUGUUUCAGCUCCAUUUCAUAAAAGUUCGUUUUUUCUCAAACUCAUUUUUAACUACACAUUCCUUCAAUAAAAUACUUUUACACGUAAACUCAUUACUUUUCACUAAUUUUUAACUACACAUUCUCCCAAAAAUUACAAUUCUUAAACUAAUUUUCACAAAAAACAGAGCCUUAAUUAUACUGUUGGUCCCAACAGGGAAAAAAUAAAGCUUUGUGCUAAUCAGUCAUACUACUCUACCAGUCUACAUAAUUUAUCAACAUUUUCAGCUCCACUGAGUCUUAUACAUCUAUUUUAUGCGGCUUAAAUGAAUAUAAACAAUAGAAAGUACAAGAAAUAUCUUAGUUUUCCUUUUUUUUUAUUGUCAUGGAAUGGAAGAUGGGGCGUACAUUUCAAAUGGGAAAAAGUAAAGGAAUAAAGGGGUGUUUG
rnacentral:lncRNA from 1 species